UACAGAGGUCUCAAGCGUUGUUCGGAUUCAUUGGGCGUAAAGGGUGCGUAGGCGGCGCGGUAAGUCGGGUGUGAAAUCUUGGAGCUUAACUCCGAAACUGCAUUCGAUACUGCCGUGCUUGAGGACUGGAGAGGAGACUGGAAUUUACGGUGUAGCGGUGAAAUGAGUAGAUAUCGUAAGGAAGACCAGUGGCGAAGGCGGGUCUCUGGACAGUUCCUGACGCUGAGGCACGAAGGCCAGGGGAGCAAACGGG
rnacentral:rRNA from 1 species